rnacentral:rRNA from 1 species
CGCGGGAUUUGCCUGACUGAGGAAACCUUGUUACAACUUCACCCCAGUCACGAACCCUGUCGUGGUAAUCGCCCUCCUUGCGGNUAGGNUAACUACUUCUGGCAGAACCCGCUCCCAUGGUGUGACGGGCGGUGUGUACAAGACCCGGGAACGUAUUCACCGCGGCAAGCUGAUCCGCGAUUACUAGCGAUUCCGACUUCACGCAGNCGAGUUGNAGACUGCGAUCCGGACUACGACCGGUUU